ensembl:lncRNA novel transcript
AGGCUCUUAGGGCCAGCGGGCCCAGGAGCUCCUAGUCAUGGGAUUUCAUGGACCUAUCACUUUUUAAAAGUUAGGUCUGCUCACUCUGUGUCAUCAAGGACAGACCCAAUGGCCCUAACACGAACCCACUGCCAUUUGUUAUCUCCAAGCAGCAGAGCUCUCAGCAUCAAGGACUUUCUAAGAAAGGACCAUGGUGAUGGCUUUGUGACCUGCCUGGCCAGGGCUUCAGCUCCCAAGUUGCAGGUGAGGUCAGCCUCAGGAUACCUCCACCACUGACCAGCUGCCGAACCUCUCUGGGCCACAAUGUCCUCCUCUGAAAAUGAAAAUCGUGGUGUUACCACCUCACGGGACCGACCCGAGGAUGAAGGAGCUGGCCACAGAGGUGCUUCCAGGACAGACUGGUGCCCAGAAGACUCCAGGACAACAGCUGCUGGUAUCACUGCGUGGGGCAGUGAGACAUCGGGGCUGUUCCCGCUGCAUGAUUGCCCCGUCCCAGGUUGUUGCCCACAAAGUCCCCUCUAUAUGCGCUGUGCCCCCAGAAUUGCGCAGCGUCAGUUAUAAACGUAAUACUGUGUGGCCGGUGCCGUUGUAAGCACUGUAGAUGAGUGUGUUUAUUCUGUUUCUCCACACCUCUGUGAGGUGGGCAUUCUUGUGACCCCUAUUCCAUCGGCGAGAAUCGGGGGCAGCCAGAUCCAAUAACUUGCCGCAGGCUGGGCUGGCACUGCGUGCUGCGCCUCCUCUGAGCCUAGCACUCUGGCCUCACAGUCGGUGCUCGUAGCAUUUCAGCUGUAUGACUCUAACAGCAAUUACAGUCAUGGCCUUCGCCGCCGCCACCAUUCCCGUUCCGGUUGGAGAACACAAUGCACCGCGCACAGGCUGUGCCAAAGUCCACAGGCACCCUUCGGCCUCCAUCAUCGCGCCCUCUUCACAGAUGAGCAAACGGAGGCCAGACGUCACCGGCAGGCGGCGCUGCGGUGCGCGAGGCCUCGCACCUGCACGGGAAGCAGCGGAGAGGACGCAGUGCUACAGUAACAGAACCUUUGGUCCAGAGCCUGGGAUGUUGCCUUUUGCCCACUGGAAUUCCCAUCUUGGAAGAGUAAGCGCAGGGGAUUGUCCAGACAGCCAGGAGGCCAGCGAAGCCAAGUCCUUCAGUACAGCCUGGGAGCCUCCAGGAAGCUGUUAGGAGUUGCCAUGAUGGGUGCAUUUGGACUCACAGAAUCUGCCUUCCAAUCUCAGUGCUGCUUCUACUCCUUUGCUACCUUAGGUCUUUGAAGACAGGUCCAUACCUUGGGUGUUUGUAUUUGGACAACCACAGACAUUGCCAAGAAAUGUAUCUGUUCUACUUGCACACCUUCACCACCUGGAUGCUGCUUGAGGACACAGAUCUGGUCCAUCAGAUUUCUCUCUGUACUCCUCUCUAUAUUUCGCCAUAUUUGAUAUAGACCCAUCAAUGGCUCCCUAGAAUAAAAUCUCAACUCUUCACUGUGCCCACAG